AACGCUGGCGGCGUGCCUAACACAUGCAAGUCGAACGCGAAAGUCCCGCAAGGGAUGAGUAGAGUGGCGAACGGGUGAGUAACACGUGGGUGACCUACCUUCGAGUGGGGGAUAACGUCCCGAAAGGGACGCUAAUACCGCAUGACAUCCUGCUUUUGAAGAGGCGGAGAUCAAAGCCGGGGAUCGCAAGACCUGGCGUUUGAAGAGGGGCCCGCGUCCGAUUAGCUAGUUGGUGGGGUAAUGGCUCACCAAGGCUACGAUCGGUAGCCGGCCUAAGAGGGCGGACGGCCACACUGGGACUGAGACACGGCCCAGACUCCUACGGGAGGCAGCAGUGGGGAAUUGUUCGCAAUGGGCGCAAGCCUGACGACGCAACGCCGCGUGGAGGAUGAAGAUCUUCGGGUCGUAAACUCCUUUCGAUCGAGACGAACGGCCUCCGGGGGAAUACUCCGGGGGAAUGACGGUACCGAGAGAAGAAGCCCCGGCUAACUCCGUGCCAGCAGCCGCGGUAAUACGGGGGGGGCAAGCGUUGUUCGGAAUUACUGGGCGUAAAGGGCUCGUAGGCGGCCAACUAAGUCAGACGUGAAAUCCCUCGGCUCAACCGGGGAACUGCGUCUGAUACUGGAUGGCUUGAAUCCGGGAGAGGGAUGCGGAAUUCCAGGUGUAGCGGUGAAAUGCGUAGAUAUCUGGAGGAACACCGGUGGCGAAGGCGGCAUCCUGGACCGGCAUUGACGCUGAGGAGCGAAAGCCAGGGGAGCAAACGGGAUUAGAUACCCCGGUAGUCCUGGCCCUAAACGAUGAAUGCUUGGUGUGGCGGGUAUCGAUCCCUGCCGUGCCGAAGCUAACGCAUUAAGCAUUCCGCCUGGGGAGUACGGUCGCAAGGC
rnacentral:rRNA from 1 species